rnacentral:rRNA from 1 species
UACAGAGGUCUCAAGCGUUUGUUCGGAUUCAUUGGGCGUAAAGGGUGCGUAGGUGGCGCGCUAAGUCGGGUGUGAAAUUUCGGAGCUUAACUCCGAAACUGCAUUCGAUACUGGCGUGCUUGAGGACUGGAGAGGAGACUGGAAUUCAUGGUGUAGCAGUGAAAUGCGUAGAGAUCAUGAGGAAGACCAGUGGCGAAGGCGGGUCUCUGGACAGU